UACGUAGGGUGCAAGCGUUGUCCGGAAUUAUUGGGCGUAAAGAGCUCGUAGGCGGUUUGUCGCGUCUGCUGUGAAAACUCGGGGCUUAACUCCGGGCCUGCAGUGGGUACGGGCAGACUAGAGUGCGGUAGGGGAGACUGGAAUUCCUGGUGUAGCGGUGAAAUGCGCAGAUAUCAGGAGGAAUACCGAUGGCGAAGGCAGGUCUCUGGGCUGACACUGACGCUCAUGCACGAAAGCGUGGGGAGCAAACAGG
rnacentral:rRNA from 1 species